rnacentral:tRNA from 2 species
GCCCAAGUGGCGGAACGGUAGACGCAGGGGAUUCAAAAUCCCCCGCCGCAAGGCGUGUGGGUUCGAAUCCCACCUUGGGCA